UAGAACGUUCUCAACUUUACACCGUCGUAUUUUUACGGUAGUCAUAUAAAUCAUUCAAAUGUCUGUGAGUUUUAGUCUCGCUCUCCUUAUUUUUUUUUUUUUUUUUUAACUUUUGCUCGUAUUUUAAAGUCACAAAGAACGCAGAUAUUUGUUCAACAAAUAUUCAAUUCGCAUUCAUUAUAGAAAUUCAAUUCACAAUGUCAUUAGUGUGCUUUCAAGUUUUAUGAAAUAUUAUAUACAUUUGUAAAGAUUUCUUGAAAUGAAACACAAUUCCUAUCGAUCUAUAUUUAUAUUAUUUGUGAUUUCUAUCUUUUUCAUUAGAUCUGCGGUAAAAUAAAUUAAUUUAUAUUUGAUGUUCACUUAAUGGGUUCGCGGAUUCGCAACAUGACACCGUCAUUUUCUACGUUUCUAUUACACUGAUCUGCAUUUGCACGCUGUCUAAAACAGCUGCGGCAACGGCUGCCAAGUAUUUCGCGGGUUUAAAAAGAACGAAGCCUAAUUUCUUACUAUUGAUCUUUGUACAUUUCAUUCACCUAAAUGUUCGAAACUAUGCUAUCUAUUUGCCGUUUUAAAGAUACGUAUUGUGCGACAAUUGCUGAUUAGGAUAAACAUCAGUAAAUAGCGUUGGCGCCUGUCAGGCGUUUUGUUAACCUUCAAUCUUUAUGCUGCAAUUAAUAACAAGCUACUAGCUGUCAUCCGUUUUGAAAAGUUACGCGCAUAAGACAGAACGGCUGCCGGUCUUAGGAUCGAUAGACGGAUGCAACGGAUCCGCAUGUAUACACCUCGUGCAACUUGAAACGAGAGACCAAGUACUAGGGGUCCUUGAAAAGAGGGGAAUUGUAUGUAAAUUUUUGUUCAACUGCAACCUCUGGUUGCCUGAAUUCGUGUUGGAACUGACAGCCUAUCAACGCAACCUCGCCUGAAAAUCAUUAUAGGAGAAAAUUCAUCGGAGAUUACUCAGGACAGUCUUCGGCUGCUAGACGCAAAAGGCCCUGUGAGCUAUUUCCACGUUCCCUAGCCGGGGUCUAUGCGGCACGGGGCAAGACGAUAAAGCGAGUAUUUGGCACAUCGAUCGACGGUUUAACGUAUCGGCUGCCAAAAAAUACAUCGCCGAUCUCGUCGUGUUUAAGAAUAUCUAACACGAGAUUCUACAGAACCGCGGUUUGAUCGGUCUAAUUGAAAAUUUAAAUCUCUUAGCGGGGAUUCUCUGGAAGCAAGAAGCCGUAAUGGUGCGCACUGUCGUAUCUGAAACUGCC